GGAAGGCAGCAUUGAGAGAGGCCUCACACUCAGGACUCCAGCAGCAGCUGCCUGGGUCUCCAGACCUACUCCUUCCCUUCCCUGUCCUCUUAAAAAGAAGCCAAACAGAUAAAGAUCUCGAUUACAAUCGGAGGGUCAGACCGGCUAGUCUGUAGUCUGUAGCCGUGUGAUCUCACAGGAACGGGAGCGGGAAGAUUUCAAGUUCAAGACUGGGUUGGGCAAAAAAGUGAGACCCUGUCUCAAAAUAAAGGCAAAUGGGUCUGUAGCCCAGGGUUGGAGCGUUUGCCUGGCGUGCAGGAGAACCCUGGCUUCCACCCCCAAGUCCUGAAAAUGAAAGUCAAGCGCAGGCUGGACUUCAGCUGCUACAGUGCCGGUUUCAAGCACAGUUAUUCUGAGGGGCACCACGCUGGCUGUGGCGGUAGUUGAUUCUAUGAAAUGGUUCCACGGUGCGAACGUAGCCCGCCGACUUGCCCAGUCCCUUGUCACAGAGAAGUAGUCAUUGCGUGGUGAUCGAUCAACAAGAAGCCGACAUGCAGGCAGAAAUCAAGAUUCCAGGUGUGAAGUCCUAAUAACAGCAUCUGGGCUCCCGAAUUUAGCUGGCACAAGGCUCGUCCAUAUUUCUGCAUUUACAUGUUUAAAGUCGACUUUCCAUUUUCUUUAAGCUUGUUGAAGUAGAGCUAUUCUCAUUCGCAACCCAAACAACAGGAAAUAAUCCAGAAUUAAUUCGGGACAAAGCAUCCUGUUAAAGUGUAUGGUCUCAGAGGGGCAAAUAAAUUUCAAGCCUGCAACAUAAAUAUAAUCAAAAUAGCCCAGACGUAUUGAUAAAGCUCUAAUAAUUAUUUUCAUUUUUAAGAUCUGAUUUUAAAAUUAAUAUAAAGUGGUAGUAUCAUUUUGUAAGGAUGAAUUUGCUGCUUUUUUUACUUUAUGAAGCCUUGGAAAAAAGACAAUGUUAUUGGUUCCCAGCCCACAUCAGGCAGCUCACAACUGUCUGUAACUCCAGGUCCCCGGGAUCAUGGCCUUAGAGGCCACCUGCAUUCACACACACACCUAGCCAUGAUUAAACAUAAAAUAAAAAUAGAUAUUUAAAAAGUUUCUUUCAUGCAAAGACAGCCUCAAAAGCACUGAAUAUAGCAUAGUGACAUGAAUUACAUCCCCCCAAAUAUGUGUCUGUAUAGUAUCACAUGUAGUCUUUACUUUUAUAUAUGUAAUUUACAAUUUUCUUACUUCAAUUAAAUAAUUUAUAUAAACAAAGAUCCCUGGUUAAAUUUGGGUUGUUUCUUAAAAGUUUGUUGGGAACCUUUGUAUUUGGAGUAAUUUUUCUACCAAGAUUAUAUUGCUCUGAGCAGUGCUUAUUUAGUUUAGCGCAUGGGACUUCUUUUGCUAUAGAUUGAAUCAUUUUUCACUUCCAUUUGAUUUGGUCUUCCUGCAAGUUUCAACUUGAAUGUUUAAUUUUUUCCAUCAAUAUUUCAAUCACAUCACUGAGUGAUGAAACCUUAUAGUGUUACUGGAAAUUUAAACUAUUGUCUUAAAUAUUUUGAUUAAAAAUUACAAUACCAAAAACAUCUCCAUUUCAGAGUCCUAAGAAAAGAAAUUGCUUUGGCUUCCUUCCUUUAUUUAUUUAUUUUUUGAUCUUAGUUUCUAAUAAUUUCCACAACACAUGAUGAAAACUGCUUGAGUGAUGUUUUAAACUAUUUUACAAAUAAUUCACUAUAAAAGGUAAAGAAUUGAAAAACAAAGAAGCAACCCAGGCAGUGGUGGUGCAUGUCUUUACUU